AGUGAACGCUGGCGGUAGGCCUAACACAUGCAAGUCGAACGGCAGCACAGUAAUAGCUUGCUCUUACGGGUGGCGAGUGGCGGACGGGUGAGGAAUACAUCGGAAUCUACUUUUUCGUGGGGGAUAACGUAGGGAAACUUACGCUAAUACCGCAUACGACCUACGGGUGAAAGCAGGGGAUCUUCGGACCUUGCGCGAUUGAAUGAGCCGAUGUCGGAUUAUCUAGUUGGCGGGGUAAAGGCCCACCAAGGCGACGAUCCGUAGCUGGUCUGAGAGGAUGAUAGGCCACACUGGAACUGAGACACGGUCCAGACUACUACGGGAGGCAGCAGUGGGGAAUAUUGGACAAUGGGCGCAAGCCUGAUCCAGUCAUACCGAGUGGGUGAAGAAGGCCUUCGGGUUGUAAAGCCCUUUUGUUGGGAAAGAAAAGCAGCAGGUUAAUACCCCGCUGUUCUGACGGUACCCAAAGAAUAAGCACCGGCUAACUUCGUG
rnacentral:rRNA from 1 species